rnacentral:rRNA from 1 species
CCAAUAGCGUAUAUUAAAGUUGUUGCGGUUAAAAAGCUCGUAGUUGAAUUUCGGGGUUAGUAGGUUGGUCAUGCCUCUGGUAUGUACUGGUCUCACUGAUUCCUCCUUCCUGAUGAACCUUAAUGCCAUUAAUUUGGUGUUUUGGGGAAUUUGGACUGUUACUUUGAAAAAAUUAGAGUGUUUAAAGCAAGCUAACGCUUGAAUACAUUAGCAUGGAAUAAUGAAAUAGGACGUUCGAUCCUAUUUUGUUGGUUUCUAGGAUUGACGUAAUGAUUAAUAGGGAUAGUUGGGGGCAUUAGUAUUCAAUUGUCAGAGGUGAAAUUCUUGGAUUUAUUGAAGACUAACUACUGCGAAAGCAUUUGCCAAGGAUGUUUUCAUUAAUCAAGAACGAAAGUUAGGGGAUCGAAGACGAUCAGAUACCGUCGUAGUCUUAACCAUAAACUAUGCCGACUAGGGAUCGGAUGAUGUUAAUUUUUUAAUGACUCAUUCGGCGCCUUACG